AGCCAACUUGUUUCCUUUCCAGAGUUGACUGAUGACAACAUACAGGACGACAUCAGCUGCGUGUUGAAGAUCUUCACCUAUCUUGUUGACAACGGUUUCGGAGCGCCCCACUUCAAGGCGUUAACACAAAUGAUCAGGCUCAUCUACCAGGAAGAGUGCAGGGAUGUAAACACCUCUGACUACUUCGCCGAUUGCACACUGGAAGGAAGUGCAUACUGAUUUAUCACUAUAAUAAAGUGAAGCAUGUUGCACUUGCGAGUUGAGUUUUUGUGUCUAUAAUCCAAAUUUUUUAU